CCUACGGGAGGCAGCAGUGGGGAAUAUUGGACAAUGGGCGAAAGCCUGAUCCAGCCAUGCCGCGUGUGUGAAGAAGGCCUUCGGGUUGUAAAGCACUUUCAGUGGGGAAGAAAGCCUUGGGGCUAAUACCCUCGAGGAAGGACAUCACCCACAGAAGAAGCACCGGCUAACUCCGUGCCAGCAGCCGCGGUAAUACGGAGGGAGCGAGCGUUAAUCGGAAUUACUGGGCGUAAAGCGCGCGUAGGCGGUCUGAUAAGCCGGUUGUGAAAGCCCCGGGCUCAACCUGGGAACGGCAUCCGGAACUGUCAGGCUAGAGUGCAGGAGAGGAAGGUAGAAUUCCCGGUGUAGCGGUGAAAUGCGUAGAGAUCGGGAGGAAUACCAGUGGCGAAGGCGGCCUUCUGGACUGACACUGACGCUGAGGUGCGAAAGCGUGGGUAGCAAACAGGAUUAGAUACCCGUGUAGUC
rnacentral:rRNA from 1 species